CCCCAGCAUCAAAAAACUUAUACUGCUGCCCUAUGAAAGGCAUCUCUUAACUCCGAUGAAGUAGGUGGUGACUGUGGUGGAGCAGCUUCAUUGUCAUCCCUUGCAGUGGCAGGUGUCAUUGGGCCAGCAGAUGAUGAAGCAGUGGCAGGUGUCAUAGGGCCAGCAGAUGAUGAAGCAGUGGCAGGUGUCAUAGGGCCAGCAGAUGAUGAAGCAGUGACAGGUGUCAUAGGGCCAGCAGAUGAUGAAGCAGUGGCAGGUGUCAUAGGGCCAGCAGAUGAUGAAGCAGUGGCAGGUGUCAUAGGGCCAGCAGAUGAUGAAGCAGUGGCAGGUGUCAUAGGGCCAGCAGAUGAUGAAGCAGUGGCAGGUGUCAUAGGGCCAGCAGAUGAUGAAGCAGUGGCAGGUGUCAUAGGGCCAGCAGAUGAUGAAGCAGUGGCUGGUGUCAU